UCUUUCUCUCUCUCUCUCUCUCUGUGCCUAUCUUCUGUCUUACUCUCUUUCUCUGCCUGUCUGUCUCUCUCUCUCUAUCUGUCUCUCUCCCUCCCUGUCUGUUUCUCUCACUCUGUCUCUCUCGCUCUCUCUCUCUCUCUCGCUAUUUCUCUCUGUCCGUCUCUGUCUUUUUCUCCAUCUCUCUCUUUCUUUCUCUCUGUCUCUGUCUCUCUCUCCCUCUGCCUGUCUCUCUCACUGUGUCUGUCUUCAGUCUUACUCUCUUUCUCUGCCUGUCUGUCUCUCUCUCCCCAUCUCUUUCUGUUUCUCUCUCUCUCUCUAUCUCUCACUCUCUCCGUCUCUCUCUCUUUCUGUUUCUGUCUCUCUCUGUCUCUUUGUGUCUGUCUGUUUCUCUCUCUUUUUCUGUCUCUCUCUCUUUCUGUUUGUUUCUCUCUGUCUGUCUCUGUCUGUCUCUCUCUCUCUGUCUCUCUCCCUCCCUGUCUGUUUCUCUCUCUCUCUCUGUCUCUGUCUCUCUCUCUUUCUGUCUGUUUCUCUCCGUCUCUCUCUGUCCAUCUCUGUCUUUCUAUGUCUGUCUCUUUCUCUGUCAGUCUGUCAGACCCCCCGUGCCGGGGAGGGUCCUGCCCCUUCCACGAAAGUGAGAAGCGCCUGCUUAGAGAGGCCGAGAGGAAUCUAGA
rnacentral:lncRNA from 1 species